GGAGAGAAGGCCAUUCUGAGGUCAACUGAAACCUCACUUGAGGGGCAGUUCCGUAGAUGGGAAUGAGGAGAGAGUCAUGGCCACAGCCACCUGGCCAAGGAGAGAGGCCAUAACUGCCAGACAGAACCAAGGAUGGAGGGACUUCAGCAGCACGAACAAUCCACACUCAGCAUGGGUCACUCUCUGGGACACACAUUUCCCUCUGGCUGAAAGGCUGAGCUGCUCCAGGGCCAACUGUGAGGUCAGACAGCUGCCCAGGGAUGUCUCCAGCCACUCAAGGGAAGAAGAGACCACUCACCUGUAAUUUCAACAGCAACAAAAGACCUGAGGUUCCACCAUCAGAACUUCACGCCCUAAGGAAGAUGCAGCAUUUCCUGUAAAAUGCAAGUGCUCCCAGGCAGAGGUAGCUCCCGAAGCCAUGAUCAGUUAUGUAUACCUUAGUGGCAGCUGAUUAACAGACUCUUCCCCAGAGCCAGCUGACAGGAAGCACAUCGGGGUAAAAGGGAAGAUGAAAACUUGGGUGCCUGGAGGAAGGGAACAAAUGCGAGCAGGAGCAUGGUAAUAACAUAGGUAAAAUAGCAGACGUUUAUACAUUACACCUGUGUGCCAGGCACUGUUGUAAGUACUGGAUAGAUAGACAGAUAAGUGGAUAGAUAGAGAGCUAGAGCUAGAGAGAGAGAGUGAGAGAGAGAGAGA
rnacentral:lncRNA from 1 species